rnacentral:rRNA from 1 species
AAUGCGUAGAUAUAUGGAAGAACACCAGUGGCGAAGGCGGCUCUCUGGUCUGCAACUGACGCUGAGGCUCGAAAGCAUGGGUAGCGAACAGGAUUAGAUACCCUGGUAGUCCAUGCCGUAAACGAUGAGUGCUAAGUGUUGGGAGGUUUCCGCCUCUCAGUGCUGCAGCUAACGCAUUAAGCACUCCGCCUGGGGAGUACGACCGCAAGGUUGAAACUCAAAGGAAUUGACGGGGGCCCGCACAAGCGGUGGAGCAUGUGGUUUAAUUCGAAGCAACGCGAAGAACCUUACCAGGUCUUGACAUCUAGUGCCAUUUGUAGAGAUACAAAGUUCCCUUCGGGGACGCUAAGACAGGUGGUGCAUGGCUGUCGUCAGCUCGUGUCGUGAGAUGUUGGGUUAAGUCCCGCAACGAGCGCAACCCUUGUCUUAUGUUGCCAGCACGUUAUGGUGGGAACUCAUGAGAGACUGCCGGGGUUAACUCGGAGGAAGGUGGGGAUGACGUCAAAUCAUCAUGCCCCUUAUGUCCAGGGCUUCACACAUGCUACAAUGGUCGGUACAGCGAGUUGCCACACCGUGAGGUGGAGCUAAUCUCUGAAAGCCGGCCUCAGUUCGGAUUGGGGUCUGCAACUCGACCCCAUGAAGUCGGAGUCGCUAGUAAUCGCAGAUCAGCAACGCUGCGGUGAAUACUGGUGGGGACGACGUCAAAUCAUCAUGCCCCUUAUGUCUUGGGCUUCAAGCAUGCUACAAUGGUCGGUACAAUGGGUUGCGAAACUGUGAGGUGGAGCGAAUCCCAAAAAGCCGGCCUCAGUUCGGAUUGGGGUCUGCAACUCGACC